GACGAACGCUGGCGGCGUGCCUAAUACAUGCAAGUCGAACGAGAGCGACCGGUGCUUGCACUGGUCAAUCUAGUGGCGAACGGGUGAGUAACACGUGGGUAACCUGCCCAUCAGAGGGGGAUAACAUCCGGAAACGGAUGCUAAAACCGCAUAGGUCUUCGAGCCGCAUGGCUUGAAGAGGAAAAGAGGCGCAAGCUUCUGCUGAUGGAUGGACCCGCGGUGCAUUAGCUAGUUGGUGAGGUAACGGCUCACCAAGGCCGUGAUGCAUAGCCGACCUGAGAGGGUGAUCGGCCACAUUGGAACUGAGACACGGCCCAAACUCCUACGGGAGGCAACAGUAGGGAAUCUUCCGCAAUGGACGCAAGUCUGACGGAGCAACGCCGCGUGAGUGAAGAAGGUCUUCGGAUCGUAAAACUCUGUUGUUAGAGAAGAACAAGUGCUAGAGUAACUGUUAGCGCCUUGACGGUAUCUAACCAGAAAGCCACGGCUAACUACGUG
rnacentral:rRNA from 1 species